rnacentral:rRNA from 1 species
AUGGCGAGCGCCGCCUCCUCCUCAUCCUCCUCCUCGCAGCCAGUGCGUGUCGUGCUGCGGGUGCGCCCGCUCCUCCCCUCGGAGGCCAGCUCGGCAGCGGUGCCCCCCUGCGUCUCCCUCAUCGGCGACCACCCCGGCGGCGAGGUCACCGUCCAGCUCAAGGAUCAGCACACCAGCCGGAGCGAGUGCUACAAGGUGGACGCGUACUUCGGCAAGGAGGACAGGGUUUCCGAGGUAUUCGACCAGGAGGUCAGCGCCUUGAUCCCGGGCAUCUUCGAGGGCAUCAACGCGACCGUGUUUGCCUAUGGGGCAACGGGCAGCGGCAAGACCUACAGCAUGCAGGGGAGCGAAGAUCUGCCAGGGCUCAUCCCCUUGUCGGUCGCGACAAUCCUGGCGCGCUGUACCGGCACGUGGUGCUUUGUCGAGAUCUCGUACUACGAGGUGUACAUGGAACGGUGCUAUGACUUGCUUGAGCCCAAGGCAAAGGAGAUCAUGGCACUGGAUGACAAAUUUGGUAACCUACAGCUCAAGGGCUUGGCUUGGGUCCCCGUGCGAUCCAUGGAGGAGUUUCAGGAAGUCUACUCGAUAGGUGUGCAGAGGCGGAAAGCCGCCCACACAGGCCUGAACGAUGUUUCAAGUAGAAGCCACGCUGUGCUUUCUAUCAGGGUCAGUAAUGAUACUGUCAAAGGGAAGCUUAACCUCAUCGACCUUGCUGGAAAUGAGGACAACAGAAGGGCUUGCAAUGAAGGGAUCCGCCUUCAAGAAAGCUCUAAGAUCAAUUCAUCGCUGUUUGCAUUGUCUAAUGUCAUUUCAGCUCUCAAGAAGAAUGAGUCACGGGUACCUUACAGAGAGAGUAGAUUGACCCGGAUACUGCAAGAUUCGCUAGGAGGCAAUAGCCGUGCUGUGAUGAUAGCUUGCCUGAAUCCUGUGGUAUACCAGGAGGCAGCCCACACAUUAAGCAUGGCUGCUCGUUCAGGCCAUAUGGUGACCAACAUGGCUUCAGCAAGCAAGGAACACACUCCAAAAGUAAAGGUGGACAUGGAAGCAAAAUUGCAAUUGUGGCUGGAAUCAAAGGCGAAAACUAAGAGCACCCAAAGAAUGAAUGGACUUUUCUCCCCAACUGGAUGGAGGACUCCUUCUUCGAUGAGCCAUAUGAAACAACCGCUAUCUGCCCGGGUUUCUGGUAGAGCUAAAGCAAUGGACCAAGACGGUGCUAAAAUAAAAAAGGUGCUUUUCGAUUCAGCAGUCCAUACAACAGCUGAAAACACACCAAGACGAGAUGAAGUAAAGACAACUAAGAAAGAGGUACCCCCUUCGUUAACUCCUUGGAAAGAGGACAAAUCUGAAUCUCCUCUCAGGAAAGCACUGUCUCCCAUUCCUUCAAACAUGAUGACUCCUUGUAAUGUCAAUUGCCCUCCUUCAUUGGAGCCCAAAACUCCAAUAGGAGUUGAGAAGAAUCCGGAUGGUACACCUCUUGAUAAGUUUAAUGCACUGGGAUCUAACCUAAAGGAAUCUCUUAUCCAACAAUAUCUCGAGUUCUUAAAUGUUGCAAACAAGGAAGAGCUACAGCAACUAAAAGGAAUUGGUGAAAAGAGAGCAGAGUACAUUCUCGAGCUCCGGGAGGAUUCGCCCAGACCAUUCCAAUCUCUUUCGGACUUGGGGAAUAUAGGUCUAUCAACAAAACAAAUCCAAGACAUCAUACAGAAAACAGCCACAGGAAUCUUCAAAUGA